rnacentral:rRNA from 1 species
GACGAACGCUGGCGGCGUGCCUAACACAUGCAAGUCGAACGAGGUCCAUGCAGUGGCAACACUGCGGAAGACCUAGUGGCGAACGGGUGAGUAACACGUGAGGAACCUGCCCCCGAAGACCGGGAUAACCCUCCGAAAGGAGAGCUAAUACCGGAUACCCCCACCUGAUCGCAUGAUCGGGUGAGGAAAUGGAUUCCGCUUCGGGAGGGCCUCGCGGCCUAUCAGCUUGUUGGUGGGGUAACGGCCCACCAAGGCAUCGACGGGUAGCUGGUCUGAGGAGACGAUCAGCCACACGUGGGACUGAGACACCGGCCCAGACCUCCGUACGGGAGGCAGCUAGG